GGGUUGUGAGGUUAAGCGACUAAGCGUACACGGUGGAUGCCCUGGCAGUCAGAGGCGAUGAAGGACGUGCUAAUCUGCGAUAAGCGUCGGUAAGGUGAUAUGAACCGUUAUAACCGGCGAUUUCCGAAUGGGGAAACCCAGUGUGAUUCGUCACACUAUCAUUAACUGAAUCCAUAGGUUAAUGAGGCGAACCGGGGGAACUGAAACAUCUAAGUACCCCGAGGA
rnacentral:rRNA from 1 species